rnacentral:lncRNA from 1 species
CGGGGUGACGGCAGGUGACCGGGCCGGGAGGGGGCAGCCAGGACCCGCAGGAUGACGGACGUCUGCUCCAUCCUCGGCCGCGCUGCCUGUGGGAGGCGGGGGCUGCGGCCAGUCCCCCCCCCUCCCUCCAGGUUUUCGCCGAUGGCGCCAGCAGACGUCGCCCCUUCCUUCCUCGGCGGGCACAUUGGUACGUUUACGGCAUCCUCGGGGGGGAUGGUAGGCUUUCUUCCUCCCAUUCUCCCUUCCCCGCGCCUGUGCCGCGUCUGACGCUCACCGGGGUUCCUCGGGUCCAGGAGCCCAUCCCCCUCGGCAGACGUGCCGCAGCAUCUUCUCACACCACGCGAACGGCCGCAGGGAGGUCCCUCGGGGCUGUCUGUCACCACCUGCUCUUGGGUGGGGCUCAGGGCCUCAAGUCUCGCUCAGUUCCGUGCCUGGGAACAGGGGUCUCCUGUGUGAAGGGGAAGAUGUCAGUGCAGCCGCAGAGGAGCCGAGCACCCCCCCUCCCAGGGGAGGAGAGCCUAGGACCCCUGCUUCCUGGGGUCUGUUUCCGCUUUGCUUUAUCCCCUUGUUUUGCCGAAGCGCAUCUCCCAGAAGGGUCUGGAGCACGGGACGGUGGGGGAACAUUUUGUGUCCGGCACAAAAACGUCUUCCUGUCACCUCGCCCUGGCCUUUCUCGCCGUCGUGCACUGUCCUGUACGCUCCUAUUUGCCUGCUCCUGUGCGUUGAUGCCUUUCUCGUCACUGCCGUUCGUUUAACUGGCCUUUAAGAUGAGCACCGGCCCGAGUGCACGAUUGGGCCCAGGUUACCCGGUCUCCGCGAGCGCGGGUGCGCGGAGGGGCUGCAGGCCUUGCACGCAGAGCCCACCUCUCAGGCAGGCUGGCUGGUGUGGCCCCACUCAGCCCCUUGUGGGGUGAGGUGACGACCCCAAGGCCACACAGUCGAUGCCUAAAGAACAGAGCCGGGAAACUAAGUCUGAAUCGGACCAUCCCACCCACCCAGCAGCCGAUAACGCAGCCCGAGAGACCAGGGCCGCACUUCAAACACGGAUCGGCAUCGGGAGAGGCCCCGGCUUUGAGGACGGGCAGGACGGCCGAGACGAGUGGGGCGUGCGGUCAGAACCCAGAGGUAGCGUGAGUCACGGCAGCGGGCGACGGUGCCUCAACGCGGAGAAGCAGCCGGUGGAGGGGGGCAUGUCGGUGGGAGACGAGGUGACAAGAAGGGCUGGGGGGAGGUCAAGGUGAGGUCAGGGUCAGGGCAGCCCCACCCCUGCUCGCUCACUGACCUCAGCAGGUUACUUCUCCUGGGAAGCGCCAUUCAAAGUGCUAUUUAGAGGGCUAAAUCAUUGAUUAUAUGCAAAACAUACAUUUUGUGAACUUCAAAGCACUUAAUAAACACAAGGUAUAAGUCUUUUAAGUCUAGGAAAAUCAGCUGUGAUUGUAAAAGACCCAGAAGGCCAGUCUGAGGAACUUCUUUUGUAGGCAAAGGAGAAAUCAGUCUUUCUUCGGGGAGCGGCAGGCAGCCCAAGGACAGUGUCUGCCCCUGACUCCUGCCUUGUGGCCUGGCGGGGGUUCUGGGCGCGCCCGCAGGCCCUGUCUGUUCCCAGGAGGGAGGCCAGUGGAAAAUUUUGAGCUGCAGUUAGAUACCGUGUUUGGUCUUGGAAACUAAAGAUGUUCCUUUAAAAGAAAAAUCAGUGCUUUUUCAACUCAAGAGACGGCAUUGACCGUUAUCUGCUUCUCUCUCCUGCCGGGCGCUCUCAAGUUUUCUUGGGCAAGUAUGAGAACAAUGCCCACUUCUGUUUUGUUUUAACCUGAAUUACAAAUUACCAAUCAGCAGAUGUAGGCCAAGCAAGGAAGCGUCUCCCAAAUGCUGGGCUUCUGCAAAAUGUGCAGGCUUCUGGUGGCUGCUGUUGCUUUUUCUUUCCGUCCCUUUUCCCCAGUGAAGGGACUUUUUGUGUCCGUUUUGGAGGCCUAAUGAAGGUUGUUUGGGAACUCGACUGCGGUGGCAGGGCCCUGGCAUUUUCUCUUGCCAAAUGUUAUUUAUUAUUCUACAAACAUCAAACCAGCAAAAGCCACCCCUCCAGAACAAACUCUAAAACUGAAACCAAACACACAGACCAAACAACCUUCCUCUCCUUGCUUCUGAGAAACUAAACGCUCUUGGUCGCGCCUAAAUUCUGUUGAAAGCGACGUGUCGAGAGUACAGUAAAUACAGGUUUACCCGGUUGUUUGUAUUUGUGGAUGCGACUCUCUCCUUGAAAGGGGGAUCUGAAUUCGAAGGAACAUCCGGGGGCCCCUUGUAUCCGGUGUCAGGUGCUCGCGGGCGGGUUCCCAGAUGGGCAUAGUCGGCCCUGUUUGUUCUCUGACCCGUCGCUGCUUCCUGGUGAUUUAUGACCAGGUUCCCACUGGGCGGGGGGCAGCUGCGGGGCAGCUGCUGUGGUCCUCGGCUCUGUGGGCUCUGCGCUGAGUCCAUCCAGCGGGCUGAGGCCGCCCCGACCGCCCAGUGUGGGGGAGCGAGACCGGCAGGCACCCGCCGCAGCGCGGGGAGCUCCCUGGGGGGCCAGGUCAUGCGGACCUCCGUGCCGGGCCAGUCGGUGUGAGGUCCUGCUUACCCCUCUCCACCUCACGCUGCCCUUGCCCGAGGGCCAGGGUCCGCAUCUCGUUGGCCCCUCAUCCUCUGGUCCAGCGUGUGCUGAUGGGUGUGGCUGGGGGAGGGUCCUGGGAACGCCCCCCAAGCCCAGAGCGCCGCUGGAGCAAGCCGUGGAUGCGCAGGUUGGGGCCGCGGGGGCGGGAGAGGAUGGGCACCUUCCUUGCAGGUUGUCGAAAAGCAGGCCGUUCUUCUCCGCAGCUCGCGUGCGCCAAGGCCAAGAAGUACUAGGAAACCACGGAAAAAAAUCUGCCUCAGUGUGCUCCAUUGUUUACUGAACGGGUCAUUAAGGGCACAGGCAAACAGGGCUGAAUGCUCCUGUGCAGACCGGCGCCCUUCCGGAAGGGCCUCCCAUUGCCGUGAGCUGUGGUGUAGGUGGCAGACGCAGCUCGGAUCUGCAUUGCUGUGGCUCUGGCGUAGGCUGGUGGCUACAGCUCCAAUUAGACCCCUAGACUGGGAACCUCCAUAUGCCGUGGGAGCGGCCCAAGAAAUG